ACACUAAUCCACCCAGGGGAACUUGGCUCUUAAUUCGAUGAUCCGCGCCAUUCUCACCUUCUUUUGCGUUCAGCGGGUUUCUGAUCCGCUGAAUAUCCAGUUCGCAUACCGCCGUUUUUCAGUUCAUAUAGAAAAGGGGAAGAAAUGAGCGAUGCAGGCGACCGCUUUAGGUCCUCCCUACCAAUUCAGGUAAACGUGUGGCCCACAGGAAGGGGAAGCUGAGUUACAAUUGAGACUUAUAAUCAUAUAAAUGUCUGAACGAGGCAUUGAAAGAGAGGACUUGGAAGUAAUUGCCCCUUAAAAAAGGGCCAUGAAUAGUCGCUCUAGUGUGUGC
rnacentral:rRNA from 1 species